GUCCACGCCCUAAACGAUGUCAACUGGUUGUUGGGAGAGUGAAAUCUCUUAGUAACGAAGCUAACGCGUGAAGUUGACCGCCUGGGGAGUACGGUCGCAAGAUUAAAACUCAAAGGAAUUGACGGGACCCGCACAAGCGGUGGAUGAUGUGGAUUAAUUCGAUGCAACGCGAAGAACCUUACCUACCCUUGACAUGUCCAGGACUUACUAGAGAUAGUUUGGUGCCCGAAAGGGAACUGGAACACAGGUGCUGCAUGGCUGUCGU
rnacentral:rRNA from 1 species